rnacentral:lncRNA from 1 species
GGAGGGUGCCAUGGGCAAGGAAUUUAUAAAUUGGGGUGAUCCAACUAUCUCCUUGUUGUAAAUUGCACAUUUCCGCGACCAUGGUGCUUGGUGCUGCUAACAAUUCGACAUGAAUUUUUCUCCCAAUCUUGUCUUUCACUGCCGAGGCGAGGCGGGCCAAAGCGUCUGCGUGACUGUUUACCGCUCGAGGAACUUGGGUGAUCUGGUAGUGGA